rnacentral:misc_RNA from 1 species
GAUGAAGAACGUAGCGAAACGCGAUAGUUAAUGUGAAUUGCAGAAUUCAGUGAAUCAUCGAGUCUUUGAACGCUCAUUGCGCCCAUUGGUAUUCCGUUGGGCAUGUCUGUUUGAGCGUCAUUACAACAGUUCAGCGUAAGCUGGUUAUGAGUUCUGUUUUUUUAAACAAAAAACAGGCUUUAAAAUGUAUGUUCUGCAGGUCGCUUUGCUAAACCCUAAACAUUAAAUACUGUUCUAGUGAAGCAUUUGCGACUCUGCCUGAAAAAAAACUUUUGUUAAAGUUUAACCUCAGAUCAGACAAGGAUACCCGCUGAACUUAAGCAUAUCAAUAAGCGGAGGA